GUUUUGGUACGUUUCUUUUUAUAUCAAAUUCCUGUUGUCUGAGUCAGCUUCGACGUGCCUCACGCAGCCACAAGCAUGAAAGUAGGUUUUAAUCAUCAGAACAUCUCGUUGUAAACAACAUCUCUAAAAAUGAACACAGGAGAGUGUGCCGAGCCGCUACGAAUCUUGGGUACAUUAAAGAGGUAUGACAGCUGGGAAGUGGACAUGACAUGAGGUCCAGUCUGAAGCUGCCACAGAUCUUCUGAGGGACAACGGGCUCGAGAUGUCAUUGCUACAGUGCAAAAUCAGCUUGGAGUCAAUGCCAAGGGAGGUAGAUGAAUGUAAAUACAAACUGAAGGAUUGUGUUAAUCAGCCUGGAUAAGGAAGUUUCCCAUUAGCUUUCUCUGAUGAACUCUAUUUUAGUUCAGUUCUGUCACAUCUACUGAGUGUUUUUUCUUUUUGUUAAAAAUAAAAAAAAAGAAACCGCCGAUAGUAUAGGGCCCUAUGUUUUCUAUGAAGACAAAUUGCAGAAUCCAGUCAUUAUAGUGGAAUUUAUAACGUGACUUUUCACAGAAUUUAACAAAUUUUGGAUGAAUAAAUCAAAUGUAGGGCUGCACACCUAAUCAAAACACUACAUGGAGUGUCUGUGAAUAUUAAAGUGCAAA